GCCCGGAUGGUGGAAUUGGUAGACACGCUGGAUUUAGGAUCCAGUGCCGCAAGGCGUGAGGGUUCAAGUCCCUCUCCGGGCACCA
rnacentral:tRNA from 1 species